rnacentral:rRNA from 1 species
AGAGUUUGCUUCUGGCUCAGGAUGAACGCUGGCGGCGUGCCUAACACAUGCAAGUCGAGCGAAGCGCUUUACUUGAAUUCUUCGGAAGGAAAGUAUUGUGACUGAGCGGCGGACGGGUGAGUAACGCGUGGGUAACCUGCCUCAUACAGGGGGAUAACAGUUAGAAAUGACUGCUAAUACCGCAUAAGACCACAGCACCGCAUGGUGCGGGGGUAAAAACUCCGGUGGUAUGAGAUGGACCCGCGUCUGAUUAGCUAGUUGGUAAGGUAAGGGCUUACCAAGGCGACGAUCAGUAGCCGACCUGAGAGGGUGACCGGCCACAUUGGGACUGAGACACGGCCCAAACUCCUACGGGAGGCAGCAGUGGGGAAUAUUGCACAAUGGGGGAAACCCUGAUGCAGCGACGCCGCGUGAGUGAUGAAGUAUUUCGGUAUGUAAAGCUCUAUCAGCAGGGAAGAAAAUGACGGUACCUGACUAAGAAGCACCGGCUAAAUACGUGCCAGCAGCCGCGGUAAUACGUAUGGUGCAAGCGUUAUCCGGAUUUACUGGGUGUAAAGGGAGCGUAGACGGAGAGGCAAGUCUGAUGUGAAAACCCGGGGCUCAACCCCGGGACUGCAUUGGAAACUGUUUUUCUAGUGUGUCGGAGAGGCAAGUGGAAUUCCUAGUGUAGCGGUGAAAUGCGUAGAUAUUAUGAGGAACACCAGUGGCGAAGGCGGCUUGCUGGACGAUGACUGACGUUGAGGCUCGAAAGCGUGGGGAGCAAACAGGAUUAGAUACCCUGGUAGUCCACGCCGUAAACGA